AUGGCGCGGCAAAUCGUGCCUUCUAGAAGCUUCCACCGCCUUCUCACCUCUCGGCACUACCCGCUCGCCUCCCCGGCGCCACCGCUCCGCCCUCUACUUCUACCGAAAGCCCUAUCUCGGGCCACCGCCGCCGCCUCCCCGCAACUCCCUCGCCGGGGGCGACGUCCCGUCGUCGCCGCCUCCGCCUCCGCCCCAGCGCCUUCCUCGCCGGAGACCGAGGCGGUGCCGGGGGCAUGGGGGAAGGUCUCGGCCGUGCUAUUCGAUAUGGACGGCGUGCUCUGCAACAGCGAGGAGCCGUCGCGCCGCGCCGCCGUGGACGUCUUCGCCGAGAUGGGCGUCGACGUCACCGUGGAUGACUUCAUCCCCUUCACGGGCACAGGCGAGGCCAAUUUCCUUGGAGGUGUUGCCAGGGUGAAAGGAGUGAAAGCUUUCAGUACUGAAAGCGCCAAGAAGCGCUUUUUUGAGAUAUACCUUGACAAGUAUGCUAAACCAAAUUCUGGAAUUGGGUUCCCAGGGGCUCUGGAACUCAUCAUGGAGUGCAAAAACGCAGGUCUGAAGGUCGCUGUUGCAUCUAGCGCUGAUAGGGUUAAGGUUGACGCAAAUCUGGCGGCUGCUGGUUUGCCUGUAUCGCUAUUUGAUGCUAUUGUUUCCGCUGAUGCUUUUGAAAAUUUAAAGCCUGCUCCAGACAUAUUCCUUGCAGCAUCUAAGAACUUAGGUGUUGACACGGAUGAGUGCAUCGUGAUAGAAGAUGCGCUUGCUGGAGUUCAAGCUGCGAAAGCUGCGGAAAUACGAUGUAUUGCUGUGACGACUUCUCUAGAUGAAGAUGCAUUACAACAAGCCAGUCCUGUGUUCAUCAGAAAAGACAUUGGAGAUAUUUCAAUUAAUGACAUCUUGUAUGGUGGUUCUAAUGCUUACCACAUUGAUGCAGAUGAACGGACAGAAAAUACCGAGAAUAUUAGUUCCUUAGGAAAUGCUUCUCCUGAAAUUCUGAAUGGAGCAACUAAUGCUGAAUCUGUUGAGAAUACAAACUCUUCAAGUUCGAAAGGCCAAGGGUUGUUGGGUUCUCGUCGGGAUAUAUUAAGAUAUGGAAGUCUUGGAAUAGCUUUUUCAUGUCUUUUCUUUACAAUCGGAAAUUGGAAGGCAAUGCAGUUCGCAUCUCCUAAAGGUCUGCUUAAUUUUUUCACGGGUGGGAACAGUUCAAUUUUUGCAACUAAUGAAGGAGAAUCACUGUCAUCAAGAGUUCAGCAAAUAAAGAAGUAUUUAGCUGAUUUUGAAACUGGGGGCUCUGCCACUUACGUACCUGAGUUCCCAAGAAAGCUCGACUGGCUGAAUACAGCCCCACUUCAGUUUGGAAGAGAUUUAAAAGGAAGAGUAGUCGUGUUGGAUUUUUGGACAUACUGCUGCAUCAACUGCAUGCAUGUCUUGCCAGACCUGGAGUUUAUAGAGAAGAAGUAUAAAGAUAAACCUUUCACUGUUGUUGGUGUGCAUUCUGCCAAAUUUGAUAAUGAAAAAGAUCUUGAAGCCAUCCGCAGUGCUGUCCUGCGCUACAAUGUUACUCAUCCAGUUGUAAAUGACGGUGACAUGUACUUGUGGAGAGAACUGGGGGUGAACUCUUGGCCGACGUUUGUGGUUGUCGCGCCCAAUGGAAAGGUUCUAGCACAAAUAUCAGGCGAAGGCCACAGAAAGGACCUUGAUGACGUAGUUGGUGCAGCACUUGAGUUUUAUGAUGAAAGGAAAUUACUACAGAAUAAUUCCCUCCCCUUGGCAUUGGAGAAGGACAGGGAUGGUCGAUUAAUAACUUCACCACUAAAGUUUCCUGGGAAACUUGCAAUUGAUGUACAGAACAAUCGAUUAUUUAUAUCAGACAGUAACCACAAUCGAAUUGUGGUCACUAACCUGGACGGGGAAUUUAUAUGCCAAGUUGGAAGUUCGGAAGAAGGACUACUUGAUGGCCAAUUUGAUACUGCCUCGUUUAAUCGCCCUCAAGGUCUUGCAUACAAUUUCAAAAAGAAUAUCCUAUAUGUAGCGGACACUGAGAACCAUGCACUGCGAGAGGUUGAUUUUGUUAACGAGACUGUCAGAACACUAGCUGGAAAUGGGACCAAAGGUUCCGACUACGAAGGAGGAGGCCGAGGAACUAAUCAGGUUCUAAAUUCACCAUGGGAUGUCUGCUAUGCUCCCUCGGAGGAGACCGUGUACAUUGCGAUGGCGGGACAACAUCAAAUCUGGAAACACAACACCCUUGAUGGUGUAACUGAAGUUUUCAGUGGUAAUGGCUCCGAAAAAAAUCUGAAUGGUUCAAGCCCCACCAACACAUCGUUUGCGCAGCCAUCUGGGAUUUCAUUGGAUCCUGAACUGGAGGAGUUAUUUGUUGCUGAUAGUGAAAGCAGUUCCAUUCGAGCUGUUAAUUUGAAGUCAGGGGGGUCAAGAUGGCUUGCUGGGGGAGAUCCAAAUUUUCCAGAUAAUUUGUUUAGGUUUGGCGAUCAUGAUGGGACUGGCUGGGAUGUGCUACUCCAGCAUCCCUUGGGUGUUGUCUAUGCUAGCGAUAAUCAAAUAUAUGUUGCAGAUUCCUAUAAUCACAAGAUAAAAAAGUUAGAUCCCGUCACAAAAAAAGUUACAACGAUUGCUGGUACUGGACGUGCAGGAUACAUGGAUGGUGAUGCCUUGUCAGCUCAACUAUCUGAGCCAGCAGGACUUGUUGAAGUUGGAGAAGGAAGAUUUCUUGUAGCAGAUACAAACAACAGUGCAAUCAGAUCUAUAGUUCUGAAUGAGAGAGGUGCUGAGGUGCGCACACUAGAUUUGACUGGAGUGCAGCCGCCAUCACCAAAACCGAAGGCGUUGAGACGCCUAAGACGACGGUUAUCAGCAGACACAAAUGUUAUUAAUGUUGAUGGUGGUUCCUCAAUGGAAGGAUAUGUGUCUCUUGCAAUCUCAGUUCCUUAUGGUUACCAUUUCUCGAAGGAAGCUCGCAGCAAAUUUGAUGUGGAAACAGAACCAGCUAAUGCAAUUGAGAUCGAGCCAGUGAAUGGAUCUCUAAACUCAGAUGGGCAGGCGUCACUCAAGUUCAAAAGAACAUCAUCAUCAUCAUCAACAGGAAGGAUCAACUGCAAGGUUUACUACUGCAAAGAAGAUGAAGUUUGUCUUUACCAAUCUGUGGCUUUUGAUGUCAAAUUCCAAGAGGGGGUACCCAGUCCUGCACCAAUUACUCUAGCCUAUACUGUGGUGCCGAGAGAUAAUUCAGGGAGUUCGCAGUUAAUGGCUGCUGGUAAGAACUUGUAA
rnacentral:rRNA from 1 species